AGUGAACGCUGGCGGUAGGCCUAACACAUGCAAGUCGAACGGCAGCACAGGAGAGCUUGCUCUCUGGGUGGCGAGUGGCGGACGGGUGAGGAAUACAUCGGAAUCUACUCUGUCGUGGGGGAUAACGUAGGGAAGCUUACGCUAAUACCGCAUACGACCUACGGGUGAGAGCAGGGGACCUUCGGGCCUUGCGCGAUUGAAUGAGCCGAUGUCGGAUUAGCUAGUUGGCGGGGUAAAGGCCCACCAAGGCGACGAUCCGUAGCUGGUCUGAGAGGAUGAUCAGCCACACUGGAACUGAGACACGGUCCAGACUCCUACGGGAGGCAGCAGUGGGGAAUAUUGGACAAUGGGCGUAAGCCUGAUCCAGCCAUACCGCGUGGGUGAAGAAGGCCUUCGGGUUGUAAAGCCCUUUUGUUGGGAAAGAAAUCCAGCUGGCUAAUACCCGGUUAGGAUGACGGUACCCAAAGAAUAAGCACCGGCUAACUUCGUGCCAGCCGCCGCGGUAA
rnacentral:rRNA from 1 species